rnacentral:rRNA from 1 species
CUAUACAUGACUCUGCGCAUAUCAAUAAGCGGAGGAAAAGAAACUAACAAGGAUUCCCUUAGUAACGGCGAGUGAAGCGGGAAGAGCUCAAAUUUGAAAUCUUAAAGGGUUUCCCUUUACGAAUUGUAGUUUAAAGAAGUGUUUUCUGUUGAGGUUUUGGUAAAAGUUCUUUGGAAUAGGACAUCAUAGAGGGUGAGAAUCCCGUAUUUGACCUUUACUUUCAACUUUGUGAUACACUUUCAAAGAGUCGGAUUGCUUGGGAAUGCAGUCCAAAAUGGGUGGUAAAUUUCAUCUAAAGCUAAAUAUUGGCGAGAGACCGAUAGCGAACAAGUACCGUGAGGGAAAGAUGAAAAGAACUUUGAAAAGAUGAGUUAAACAGUACGUGAAAUUGUCAAAAGGGAAGCGUUUGACACCAGUGUUGUUUUUCUGAAAAUCAAUUAAAGAACUGUUUAUGCUAAGUUGUUUAGACUUUAUCAGCUAACUGUUUAGUUUUGAGCUUUUCUUUAAUGCACUUUUCAGUUAACAAGUCGACAUCAAUUUCUUUUGCUGUAAAAAAGCUUGAGGAAGGUGGCUUGAGAUUCGUCUUAAGUGUUUAUAGCCUCUUGCCUAUGCAGUCGGAGAGAUUGAGGUCUGCAGCGUAGAUCCUUCGGGGCUAAAUGCAUUUGUGCUAAGUUAUAGCAUUUUAUAGACAACUUGUUGACUAUGAUUAGUCUUGUAGCUUACUCGCUUAUGCUAUUUUACCUACGCUUAGGAUGUUGACAGCAGUAUAGACUGU